UUUUUUUUUUUGAGAUGGAGUCUCACUCUGUCGCCCAGGCUGGAGUGAAGUGGCUCGAUCUUGGCUCUCUGCAACCUCCACCUCCCAGGUUCAAGUGAUUCUCCUGCCUGAGCCUCCUGAGUAGCUGGGAGUACAGGUGCCCGCCACCACACCUGGCUGAUUUUUGUAUUUUUAGUAGAGACCAGGUUUCACUGUGUUGGCCAGGCUGGUCACGAACUCCUGACCUCAGGUGAUCUGUCCGCCUCAGCCUCCCAAAGUGCUGGGAUUACAGGUGUGAGUCACCGUGCCCGGCCUAAUUUUUUUUUUUUUUAAGACGGAGUCUCGCUCUGUCACCCAGGCUAGAGUGCAGUGGUGCGAUCUUGGCUCACUGCAACCUCCGACUUCCGGGUUCACACCAUUCUCCUGACUCAGCCUCCCGAGUAGCUGGGACUACAGCUGCCCACCACCACGCCCGGCUAAUUUUUUAUAUUUUUAGUAGAGGUGGGGUUUCACAGUGUUAGCCAGGAUGGUCGCGACCUCCUGACCUCAUGAUCUGGCUGCCUUGGCCUCCCAAAGUGCUGGGAUUACAGGCGUGAGCCACCGCGCCCAGCCAAUUUUUAUAUUUUUUUAAUAGAGAUAGGGUCUCACCAUGUUACCCAGGCUGGUCUGGAACUCCUGAGCUCAAGCAGUCCUCCCAUCUUCCCUCCCAAAGCUUUGGGAUUAAAGGUGAGUCAUCACGCCCUGCUGCUUCAUUUCUUUUUUUUUUCAUUUUUACUUUUAGAUCCAGGGUCUCCUUGUGUCGCCCAGGCUGGAGUGCAGUGGUGUGAUCACAGCACACUGCAGCCUUGACCUCCUGGACUCAAGGGAUUGUCCUGCCUUGGCCUCCUGAGGAGCUAGGACUACACGUGUGCACCACCAUGCCCAGCUAAUUUUUAAAUUUUUUGCAUAGAUGGGGACUCGCUAUGUUGCCCAGGUUGGUCUCCAACUUACGAUCUCAAGAGAUCCUCCUGCCUCGACCUCCCAAAGGGAUUAUAGGCGGCAGCCACUAUGCCUGGCUGGUGUCUUUUAUCUUGAUAAAAUCAUUUAGAAAUAAUAGCACUUGUAUGGUGCUUACUAGGCCAGGUACCUCAAACAUAUUAUGUCUACAAACUCAGUCAACAGUCACUUUUAUUAAUAAUGCAUCAGCCUGAGAUUGGUGGGUAGCUCUGUUUUGCUGUUUUCCCGUUUUCCCAGAAUCCUCUAGGGCAGUCUCCUCCUGUCCUCUUCUGCCCCUGCCCCAGACGUCCUGGCCCAUGGCAGAUGCCAGAUGUCAGACAACUGAGACAGCUCAGAAGAAUCUCCCAUAGCCAGAAGGAAACUCAAUUCUGCAGGCACUGCACAGAAAUGCUUGGUCCCAUGCUUAGCUCAAUCGCCUCUAUCCAGGAUCUAUGUACUGGGCCGAUACAUAGAUCACAGGAAGUUUUAUUUCUCUCCACCCCUGCCCCCCAACCCCGGGCAAAUUCCAUGGUCCACAAGGACACGGGCAGGCUCCAGCAUGUCCAGUAGGACAGGACGCCUCAGGGAGGGCACGAGGACAAGUGCCUGGGGGUCUGAAACCACUGAGGGCUCUUCCCGGAGAUUUACUUUUGAGACUUAACUCUUUUAAUUACUCUCUGGACUGGCUGACGUUCAGUCGAAGCUGGUUUGCCCAGGGCAGUGGAAAGAAACCAAGAAACCAGAGGCUGAGACUCAGGCUUCAUGUAGCCACAAGGAAGGAAGAAGAGACCCCACAAAACACUCCCAACAGCUCUUUGCCUCCGGUCACCCCAAAGAGAGGCCGUUCUGCCUUUUAAGAUGAAGGGAAACAAGGCCGGGCGCGGUGGCUCACGCCUGUAAUCACAGCACUUUGGGAGGCUGAGGUGGGUGGAUUGCCUGAGCUCAGGAGUUCGAGACCAGCCUGGGCAACAUGGUGAAACCCGUUUCUACUAAAAUACAAAAAAUUGGCCGGGCACAGUGGCACGUGCCUAUAGUCCCAGCUACUCGGGAGGCUGACGCAGAAUUGGGUUGAACCCAGGAGGCAGAGGUUGCAGUGAGCCGAGAUCAUGACACUGCACUCCAGCCUGGGCGACAGAGCAAGACUGUGUCUCCAAAAAAAAAAAAAAAAAAAAAAGGUGUAAGGCGAACAAGAGACACACACAGACCACAGCCUGGUUGUUAAGACUGGGGGUGGGCGCACAAGGCAGUGGUAAAUGGGCCUGGGGUUCUUUCUAGGGUGAUGGAAAUUCUAAAAUUGAAUCUGAGGAUAGCUGCCUAUAUCCGUAAAUAUGUGAAUAUGCUGAAAAACCAUUGACUCGUGCACUUUAAAUGACUGUAUUGUAUGGUACAUAAAACUGUAUCUCGAUAACACCUUCUCAAAAAGAAUAAAUGCAGUGGCUCACACCUGUAAUCCCAGCACUUUGGGAAGCAAAGGAGGGCCAAUCACCUGAGAUCAGGAGUUCGAGACCAGCCUGACCAACAUGGUGAAACCCCAUCUCGACUAAAAAUACAAAAGUAGCCGGGCGUGGUGGCACAUGCCUGUAAUCCCAGCUAGCUGGGAGGCCGAGGCAGGAGAAUUGCUUGAACUCAGGAGGUGGAGGUCGCAGUGAGCCCAGAUUGCAGCAUUGCACUGCAACAUUGCACUCUAGCCUGGGCAACAAGAACGAAACUCGGUCUCAAAAAAAAAAAAAAAAAAAAAAAAGAAGGCAGGCGCAGUGGCUUUCAUCUGUAAUCCCAGCACUUUGGGAGGCCAAGGAGGGCAGAUCACCUGAGGUCAGGAGUUCAAGACCAGCCUGGCCAACAUGGUGAAACCCCGUCUCUAUUAAAAAUAUAAAAAUUAGCUGGGGGUUGUGGUGGGGGCCUGUAAUCCCAGCUACUCAGGAGUCUGAGGCAGGAGAAUCGCUUGAACUCAGGAGGUGGAGGCUGCAGUCAGCCGAGAUUGCACCACUGCAUUCCACCCUGGGUGACAAAGCGGGACUACUUCUCAAAAUAAAUAAAUAAUAAUGAACAUAAAAAAUUAGCUGGGCAUGGUGGCACAUGCCUGUAGUCCCAGCUAUGCUGGAGGCUUAGGAGGCAGGAUCGCUUGAGCCCAGGAGGUCAAGGAAUGCAGUGAGCUGUGACUGCACCACUGCACUCCAGCCUGGGUGACAGAACAAGACCCUGUCUCACAAUGAAUAAAUGAAUGAAUGAAUGCAAAUGCAAGAUAGAGGGGGUUAGUGGUUACCAGGGGCUGGGGGAGUAACAAGUGGGGAGUGACUGCUAAUGAGGACAGAGCUGCUUUUCAGGGUGAUGAGAAUGUUCUGGAAUUAGAUAGCGGUGAUGGUUGCACAACUUUGUCAAUGUACUAAAAACCACUGGGGGCCGGGUGUGGUGGCUCAGGCCUGUAAUCCCAGCACUUUGGGAGGCUGAGGUGCUGGGGUCAGGAGUUCGAGACCAGUCUGGCCAACAUGGCGAAACCCCUUCUCUACUAAAAAUACAAAAAUUAGCCGGGCAUGGUGGCAGACGCCUGUAAUCCCAGCUACUCGGGAGGCUGAGGCAGAAGAAUCGCUUGAACCCGGGAGGUGGAGGUUGCAGUGGGCUGGGAUUGCGUCACUGCACUGUGGCCUGGGCCAAGAGUGAAACUCCAUCUCCAAAAAAAAACCCCACUGAAUUGUACAUUUCUAAAAAGUGGCUUUGGCCAGGCAGUGGCUCAUGCCUGUAAUCCCAGCACUUUGGGAGGCUGAGGCGGGUUAACUGCUUGAGUCCAGGAAUUCGAGACCAGUCUAGUCUAGGCAACACAGCAAAACCCCAUCUCUAUAAAAAUAAGCCAGGUAUGGUGGCACGUGCCUGUAAUUCCCACUACUUGGGAGGCUGAGCUGAGAGGGUCGCCUGAGCCUGGGAGGUCAAGAAUGCGUAAGCCGUGAUUGUACCACUGCACUCCAGCCUGGGUGAGACCCUGUCUCAAAGAAAAAAAACAAAAAAGGUAGCUUUUGUGGAAUGUGAAUUAUAUCUCAAUUUUAAAUAAAGGUUAUGCCCAUCUAUUGACACAAAAUGAUGUCCCUGAGAUUUUAUUCAAUGAAAAAAGAACAGCCUUGAUAAAACCACACGUAUAGAAAAAAGUGGGCAACAUGGCCUGAACUCUCCCCAGGCACCCCCAACAGAAAACGCAGUCUGGGAGCCUGCAGCCUCAGAUGAAGGGCUGGGUUGAGGCCCCAGACCUGCAGAGGGCGGCUCUGGGCUGCCUGGCUUCACCCUCUGCAGAGAAACCUGAAAUCUCUAGCCUGUAGAGGAGCUUCUCCCUGCUUUUCUCCACUGCUAGACCCUCAUGCUCAGGGCCAGGGCCCAGAGUGGGAAUGAGAGAGGUGGGGUGAUGACAGCCUCAGGAUACUCCGCUCAAGCUGGCCUUGGUUCUAGCUCCCAAGCUGCAGCCACCUCUUAGGGGGUUCCUGCUGCCUGGACGCCUCUCCCUGUCACUCAAUGUCACGUCCUCAGAGAAGCCCUCCCUGACCCCAGUCUCAUUCAGGCCCCGUCAUCUGCCCUCCCAGAUUUCAGCAUGUGUCACUGCAGAUCUCAGGACGUGUACAGGGUUCCAGCUCAUAAGGGUACACAUUUGGGGACCAAGUUUCCCCUCUCUUGCUGUCCUCCAACUUUCCAGGAACCAGUCCCUGAGCUCCUCCUGCAGGACGAGGCCCCACACAUUGCUUCUGAUCACAGCCAUCCUUUCCCCGCUCACUUUUCUCACUUUAUCUCCCCAAACCGGGACAGUCAAGAACCACAGAGGACCGAAGUGCACAGUGGACGGAGCGGUCGUUCUGCCCCUCCUUGGCUCGUGGAAACCACCCGCCCUCACCUGGGCGGUCUCCUGCCC
rnacentral:lncRNA from 1 species